rnacentral:rRNA from 1 species
CAUGGCUUAAUGAUAAUAAAUAUUAAGUUGUACCUGCCCAAUGAUUUAAUAAAUUUAAUGGCCGCAGUAAUUUGACUGUGCAAAGGUAGCAUAAUCAUUUGUUUUUUAAUUGGAGACUGGAAUGAAUGGUUUGACGUAAAAAUAGCUUUAUUAAUAAUUUUGUUAAAAAUUAAUUUUUAUGUUAAAAAGCAUAAAUAAUAUUAAGGGACGAAAAGACCCCAUCAAGUUUAAUAUAUUAUUUCAAUAUAUAAUUUAGUUCUUAAUUUAUUUGAAUUAUAUAUUUUACUGGGGCGGUAGAAAUAGAUUAUCUUUUUUUAAUUAAAAUGAAUUAUAUUUUAUUAUUUAUCCUAUUUUAUAGAAUUAUAAUAAAUUACUGUGGGGGUAACAGCGUUAUUUUUUUGUAGAGUUCUUAUUAAUAAAAGAGAUUGCGACCUCGAUGUUGGAUUAAAUUUUUCUAUUAGGUGAAGAUGCUUAAUGGGAUAGUCUGUUCGACUAUUAAAUAUUUACGUGAUC